GAUGAAGAACGCAGCGAAAUGCGAUAAGUAAUGUGAAUUGCAGAAUUCAGUGAAUCAUCGAAUCUUUGAACGCACAUUGCGCCCGCCAGUAUUCUGGCGGGCAUGCCUGUUCGAGCGUCAUUUCAACCCUCAAGACCCCUUCGGGGGACUUGGUGUUGGGGACCGGCACAGGGGCCUGCCUGCUUGUCUUGCAGCGCCCUCGCCGCCCCCGAAAUGAAUUGGCGGCCUCGUCGCGGCCUCCCCUGCGUAGUAGCACAACCUCGCAACGGGAACGUGACGGCGGCCACUGCCGUAAAACAACCCCAAUUUUAUUAGAGUGGACCUCGAAUCAGGUAGGAAUACCCGCUGAACUUAAGCAUAUCAAUAAGCGGAGGA
rnacentral:misc_RNA from 1 species